CCUGGCGGCCUUAGCGCGGUGGUCCCACCUGACCCCAUGCCGAACUCAGAAGUGAAACGCCGUAGCGCCGAUGGUAG
rnacentral:rRNA from 1 species